UAGAGUUUGAUCCUGGCUCAGAACGAACGCUGGCGGCAGGCCUAACACAUGCAAGUCGAACGCCCCGCAAGGGGAGUGGCAGACGGGUGAGUAACACGUGGGAACCUUCCCUAUAGUACGGAAUAGCCCAGGGAAACUUGGAGUAAUACCGUAUACGCCCGAAAGGGGAAAGAAUUUCGCUAUAGGAUGGGCCCGCGUAGGAUUAGCUAGUUGGUGAGGUAAUGGCUCACCAAGGCGACGAUCCUUAGCUGGUUUGAGAGAACGACCAGCCACACUGGGACUGAGACACGGCCCAGACUCCUACGGGAGGCAGCAGUGGGGAAUAUUGGACAAUGGGCGCAAGCCUGAUCCAGCCAUGCCGCGUGAGUGAUGAAGGCCUUAGGGUUGUAAAGCUCUUUUGCCGGGGACGAUAAUGACGGUACCCGGAGAAUAAGUCCCGGCUAACUUCGUGCCAGCAGCCGCGGUA
rnacentral:rRNA from 1 species